AAACCAACAGGGAUUGCCUUAGUAGCGGCGAGUGAAGCGGCAAAAGCUCAAAUUUGAAAUCUGGCUCUUUCAGAGUCCGAGUUGUAAUUUGAAGAAGGUAUCUUUGGGUCUGGCUCUUGUCUAUGUUUCUUGGAACAGAACGUCACAGAGGGUGAGAAUCCCGUGCGAUGAGAUGAUCCAGGCCUAUGUAAAGUUCCUUCGAAGAGUCGAGUUGUUUGGGAAUGCAGCUCUAAGUGGGUGGUAAAUUCCAUCUAAAGCUAAAUAUUGGCGAGAGACCGGUAGCGAACAAGUACAGUGAUGGAAAGAUGAAAAGAACUUUGAAAAGAGAGUGAAAAAGUACGUGAAAUUGUUGAAAGGGAAGGGCUUGAGAUCAGACUUGGUAUUUUGUAUGUUACUUCUUCGGGGGUGGCCUCUACAGUUUAUCGGGCCAGCAUCAGUUUGGGCGGUAGGAGAAUUGCGUUGGAAUGUGGCACGGCUUCGGUUGUGUGUUAUAGCCUUCGUCGAUACUGCCAGCCUAGACUGAGGACUGCGGUUUAUACCUAGGAUGUUGGCAUAAUGAUCUUAAGUCGC
rnacentral:rRNA from 1 species